rnacentral:rRNA from 1 species
AGGAUGAACGCUGGCGGCGUGCCUAACACAUGCAAGUCGAACGUCCUGUCUCGCAAGAGGCAGGGAGUGGCGGACGGGUGAGUACCACGUGGGUCAUCUACCGUGAGGUGAGGAAUACCGGCGAGAAAUCGCCGACAAGACCGCAUAGGCUCGAUGCAAGUCGAGCAAAGCUCUUUCGAGAGAGGGAGCGCCACACGAGGAGCCUGCGCCCGAUUAGCUAGCUGGUGGAGUAACGGUUCACCAGGGCGACGAUCGGUAGCUGGUCUGAGAGGACGAUCAGCCACACUGGGAUUGAGAACGGCCCAGACUCCUACGGGGGGCAGCAGUGAGGAAUUUUCGUCAAUGGGGGCAACCCUGAACGAGCAACGCCGCGUGCAGGAAGAGGUUUCGGAUCGUAAACUGCUUUUCGUCGGGAAGAGAAUGGACGGUACCCGAGGAAUCAGCCCCGGCUAACUACGUGCCAGCAGCCGC